rnacentral:misc_RNA from 1 species
UUUUUUUCCUCUUCCUUUCUUUUACUCUUUUUUCAUAUCAACUACAGAUUAGUAUAAUCCCAAACUCAGCGAGUCAACCAAAGCAAAUCCGUUCUCUAUAUAAGAGCUACAAAGCAAUGCUACUUUUCGCCAAGAUUGUUCUUCCAUAUAUCCAUACUUGUAGGAAAACCUAGCUAAGACCUAACUUCCUAUUCCUGUCUUUGCUUCGUAGAUAGAAAGCAUCGCUAUUAACUUAUCGACUUGGCUGGUCAAAGAUGGAGCCACAAAAAAGAGUAGAAACAAUAGAAGUUGAUGAAGAAAAAUGGGUUUAUGAUUCUUCUGUGGAUCAUAAAGGAAGGGUUCCUCUGCGAGCUUACACUGGUGUUUGGAAAGCUUCGCUGUUUAUCAUAGCAAUUGAAUUCAGUGAAAGGUUGAGUUACUAUGGAAUAGCAAGCAGCUUAAUCAUUUACCUGACAACAGUGAUUCAUCAAGACCUCAAGACUGCUGCUAAGAACGUAAACUUUUGGUCUGGAGUGACUACUUUGACGCCUCUAUUUGGAGGAUUUGUUGCUGAUGCUUACUUGAGCCGAUUCUCCAUGGUUUUAGUUUCAUCUAUCAUCUAUAUUCUGGUCACCAUCUCAUCUUAUUUCCAUUUCCUUUUGUGAACUUUAAUCAUAUAAUUGUCUCAUGCAUGAUGAGUAUAUUUUUCUUAUAAUUGACCUCAAAAUUCAAAAAAUUUAAUAUGACAUUGUGUCUCCAUUAAAAUUUUUUAUGUGUUAAAGAAAACACUGGAUAUCAAUAUAUAUAAUUGGUAAAAACAUUAGCAAUAUAUAGAAUAGAAGUGGCUACGGUCCGUUUUAGAAUUGAAAUUAAGUCAAUUCAAUUUGAAAUAGAAAUUGAUUAAAUUUGAAUUAAUUGAAAUUGAAUAUAAAUCAGACCAGAAUCAAUUAAUCCAAUUUCAGUCAGUUAGAUUAGCUAUUAAUUAUUUCUAUAAAAAAUUUAACUAUGAUUUUUGGUUUUCCUGUUUUGUUGAUGUGGACGCACAGGGUUUGAUUCUUUUAACACUGUCCCAGUUUCUUCCAAGUUUAAAGGCUUGCGAAGAAGCUAUGUGCCACGAGUCCAGGAAGGUUCAUGAAACGGUUUUCUUCCUUGCCAUGUAUUUAAUCUCCCUAGGAACUGGAGGGCAUAGGCCUUCCUUGGAGAGCUUUGGAGCUGAUCAAUUCGACGAUGAUCACUGUGAAGAAAGAAAGAAAAAGAUGUCAUAUUUCAACUGGUGGAAUUUUGGCCUUUGUUCUGGACUCCUCCUUGGUGUAACUCUGAUUGUUUACGCUCAAGACCAUGUGAGCUGGGGUGUUGCAGAUAUUAUUCUGACAAUAGUUAUGGCUCUAUCACUAGUUAUACUCAUUAUUGGAAGGCCAUUUUACCGAUAUCGGGCACCAUCAGGCAGCCCCUUAACGCCAAUGUUGCAGGUUCUUGUAGCUGCUACAAGAAAAAGAAAUCUGCCACAUCCUUCAAAUCCUGCUGAAUUAUAUCAAGUCUCCAACAUGGACCAUGGGAGGCUUCUCUGCCAUACCAAGAAGCUCAAGUAAUCAAGAGAAAGAAGUCUUUGUUCCUAUUCAAAUUUCAUGCAUGAUUUAAUCAGCUGUAUCUGAUAUUAUCCAUUUUUUGGAUUAUCAGUUAAUUAGAAACCCCAUUAAAUUGCAGGUUUCUUGACAAAGCUUCUAUUCUGGAAGGCACAGAAAAUUCUGCUGAGAAGCAAAGUCCUUGGAGACUUGCAACCGUGACAAAGGUUGAGGAAAUGAAGCUUAUUCUCAAUAUGAUCCCAAUAUGGCUAGCUACCUUACCGUUUGGAAUUUCGGUAGCACAAGCCUCCACAUUCUUUAUCAAGCAAUGCACCACUAUGAACCGAAAGAUUGCUAAUGGAUUCUUGAUCCCACCAGCCUCCAUUUAUGCUAUUGCAGCCAUUGGAAUGAUAUUCUCUGUGACCAUUUAUGAGAAGGUCCUAGUACCAAUACUAAGAAGGAUGACAGGAAACGAGAGAGGCAUCAAAAUUCUUCAAAGAAUAGGCAUUGGAAUGCUGUUCUCAAUUUUGGCAAUGAUAAUUUCAGCCUUGGUGGAGAGAAAGAGGCUAAGUGUUGUGGAGAAAGAUCCAGUGAAGGGUUCACUUUCAAUGACUGUGUUUUGGUUGGCUCCACAAUUUCUGAUCAUAGGCAUAGGAGAUGGAUUUACACUAGUGGGGUUGCAGGAGUACUUCUAUGACCAAGUUCCUGAUUCAAUGAGGAGCUUAGGUAUUGCCUUCUACCUUAGUGUGAUUGGAGCUGCAAACUUCAUUAGUAGUCUGCUGAUAACAAUUGUGGAUCAUGUUACAGAGAAAUAUGGGAAGAGUUGGUUUGGGAAGGAUCUAAACAGUAGUCGUUUAGACAAUUUUUACUUGCUAUUAGCAGGUAUUACUGCAGCAAAUAUGGUAACCUAUGUGUUGUUGGCCAGGCGAUAUUCUUACAAAAAUGUGAAUAGGAGUGUGGCUGUGGCUGUGGCAGAUUGCUCGGUUGAUGAUUGGGCAAACUCAGUGGCUUGAAAUGCAAAUUUCCCCAGUCUGGCGUAUAAAUAACAUAUCAUAUAAUAUUAGUGUAUGUUGUGUUUACUUUUGGAAAUUUAAGCCUGCGUAUGUUUCAAUAAAU